rnacentral:rRNA from 1 species
AUUGAACGCUGGCGGCAUGCUUUACACAUGCAAGUCGAACGGUAACAGGCCUUCGGGUGCUGACGAUUGGCGAACGGGUGAGUAAUGCAUCGGAACGUACCCAGAGGUGGGGGAUAACGCAGCGAAAGCUGUGCUAAUACUGCAUGUGAUCUGAGGAUGAAAGCGGGGGACCGAGCAGCAAUGUUUGGCCUCGCGCCUUUGGAGCGGCCGAUGUCGGAUUAGCUAGUUGGUGGGGUAAAGGCCCACCAAGGCGACGAUCCGUAGCUGGUCUGAGAGGACGACCAGCCACACUGGGACUGAGACACGGCCCAGACUCCUACGGGAGGCAGCAGUGGGGAAUUUUGGACAAUGGGCGCAAGCCUGAUCCAGCAAUGCCGCGUGCGGGAAGAAGGCCUUCGGGUUGUAAACCGCUUUUGGCAGGAACGAAACGGUGUCCGCUAAUACCGGGCGCUAAUGACGGUACCUGCAGAAUAAGCACCGGCUAACUACGUG